rnacentral:lncRNA from 1 species
GUAAGCAGAGAAAAGACUGCAUUUUGAUUGACAGAGACAUGUGACACAGAAUCACAUGAGAGCCUGGGUCAAGAUUCCAAGGGUGUGUGGUCCCAACUGAAAAUUGCCUUCCUGCUAAAGAUUUGGUGGUAUCUGUAAUUUUCACCUAUCCACAAGAUAUCUGGCCCCUAUGAGAUACCAGCUUGAGAAGAGAGAGACUGCUUGAACAGGCUGCUGGUAGCUAAAGUGAAGAUCAAGAAAAGGACCAUUAAUCUCUACUGGGAACGGAUUUGGAUUUUACCUCUGGGAUCUUGGCCCAUACCUGGACUCUGUUUGGUCUUUCCUGCAGCACAUGAAGUGAAGUUGAACUCUUCCAAUCUCUCUCUCAAACCUGAAUAUGAACGAAAAAGCUGAAAUGCCUCAAUAAGACUUGAAGACUUGAAUAAGACUUAAGGAGGACUCUCUUUAAAAAGUCCCAGAAGGGAUUAGUGAAGUUGGGAGCUCUCUUGCCUCUUGCCACCUCCAUCUGUGCCUGCCAUAGCCUUCAGCUUCAUCAGUAAGGAGAGGCUUUGGGACAGAAGUUUCAUGUGUAUAGUUGGGCAAAACCAAUUCCCACAUUGUCCAUGUUGAAGAGUUCGCAUCUCAUUUUGAAUCUUAUUUCUAUUACUUCUCCAUCAGGAGGUGGGUAUCAUAGACAUUCUUAAACUUUCCCCAUACUUCAGAGCUGCCUCUUCAUCUUCAGUAUAGCUCAGAGGAGAGGAUUUGCCUUUUAUUUUUAGAGCCUUAAUUCUAGCAAACCCUUGACAGCGAAAUAUUUAAUGAUCAGUGUAAAAAAGACCUGCCAGAACUGAAAAGUAACCCAAAGUGAAAUAAUGGAAAUUGGUAGUGUACAUAAAUAGCUGGGCCAGCUUUCCUCUUGUUUGAAAUCCUAUUUUAUUUGCUAGCAAUUUUCUUCUGCCUCACACUCUCUCAUUAUAUAUCCUUUCAUUCAAAAUGUUAGUUCUCAAUCUUCUUGUAAUACAAGAACCAUCCACUAAUCAUUUCUAGGACGGAAACACAUAUUCCUAAGUGGAGUCCUUUUGUGGAGAUGAAUUAAACAGACACUGGAUUUGUUUCUCAGAUUUCUUGUCUGAUGGUUCAUGGAAUUGCCAACGAAGGAAUUUUUUUAUGCCUUAAAAAUUACCCAAGACAAAUGCUUGACAAAUGCAGCUUUUCCAUGUGAAUGAAACUUUUUUGGUCAUGCACAAGUUUAAAUUCUAGAAAACAAAAGAGAAAAGCGUGAACUAAAUAUCUCUUAUAUAGAUUCUCUUCUGGUCUGUUCAUAUCGCUAAUACCCUAAUUCAGACCAUUACUUCUUGCUUGGUUUAUUGUAGAAG